rnacentral:rRNA from 1 species
AGUGAACGCUGGCGGUAGGCCUAACACAUGCAAGUCGAACGGCAGCACAGUAAGAGCUUGCUCUUACGGGUGGCGAGUGGCGGACGGGUGAGGAAUACAUCGGAAUCUACUUUUUCGUGGGGGAUAACGUAGGGAAACUUACGCUAAUACCGCAUACGACCUACGGGUGAAAGCAGGGGAUCUUCGGACCUUGCGCGAUUGAAUGAGCCGAUGUCGGAUUAGCUAGUUGGCGGGGUAAAGGCCCACCAAGGCGACGAUCCGUAGCUGGUCUGAGAGGAUGAUCAGCCAAACUGGGAAUGAGACACGGUCCAGACUCCUACGGGAGGCAGCAGUGGGGAAUAUUGGACAAUGGGCGCAAGCCUGAUCCAGCCAUACCGCGUGGGUGAAGAAGGCCUUCGGGUUGUAAAGCCCUUUUGUUGGGAAAGAAAAGCAGCAGGUUAAUACCCCGCUGUUCUGACGGUACCCAAAGAAUAAGCACCGGCUAACUUCGUGC